UAGGGAAUCUUCCGCAAUGGGCGAAAGCCUGACGGAGCAACGCCGCGUGAGUGAUGAAGGUCUUCGGAUCGUAAAACUCCGUUAUUAGGGAAGAACAAAUGUGUAAGUAACUAUGCACGUCUUGACGGUACCUAAUCAGAAAGCCACGGCUAACUACGUGCCAGCAGCCGCGGUAAUACGUAGGUGGCAAGCGUUAUCCGGAAUUAUUGGGCGUAAAGCGCGCGUAGGCGGUUUUUUAAGUCUGAUGUGAAAGCCCACGGCUCAACCGUGGAGGGUCAUUGGAAACUGGAAAACUUGAGUGCAGAAGAGGAAAGUGGAAUUCCAUGUGUAGCGGUGAAAUGCGCAGAGAUAUGGAGGAACACCAGUGGCGAAGGCGACUUUCUGGUCUGUAACUGACGCUGAUGUGCGAAAGCGUGGGGAUCAAACAGG
rnacentral:rRNA from 1 species